GUCCAUCACGACAUCAGCGUGGAGCUUGCCAGUCCUCAAGUAUAUCACAAGAGGACGCGGCAGAGGUCAUCGGCCACCCGUACACGGAGGAGGUGGGCCGGCGUCCAUCACGACAUCGGCGUGGAGCUUGUCAGUCCUCAAGUAUAUCACAAGAGGACGCGGCAGAGGUCAUCGGCCACCCGUACACGGAGGAGGUGGGCCGGCGUCCAUCACGACAUUGGCGUGGAGCUUGCCAGUCCUCAAGUAUAUCACAAGAGGACGCGGCAGAGGUCAUCGGCCACCCGUACACGGAGGAGGUGGGCCGGCGUCCAUCACGGCAUCGGCGUGGAGCUUGCCUGUCCUCCGGACUCCGGGAAUGGUGGACGAUUUUACAGUGACACCAUUAAGCGCUCGAAUGAACUCCUAUAAGUAUUCGUUUUCCCCAGAACGAUUACAGAUUGGAAGAAUCUUAUAAUGAAGAAGUAUCACAAACGUCACUACAAAUGUUUGAAAGCUAUCUUUAUUUCUUAACAUCGUUUGUAAUAUAUUAUAUCCUUGCGUUGCAUUUAAUUGUCUUAUAUUUUUGCAUUUCUGUAACUUGAUCUUGACUUAUGAUUUAUUUAUGAAUUGGUUUAUGAUUUCUUUUGGAAUCAUGUUUGCUCUUUCCAAUGGUUCUUUACUUUUAUAUUACAAGCCCACUCUGCUAAGGUCUUGUAAAAGAUCGCAGUAUAAAUAAAAUGCAGGGCCAGGAAAUACUUCCGGUAAAAGAAUAUAAAUAAUCUUGGUAUAUGGAUAAACGAAGGCAACAGAUAUUUGGAAAUACAGGAAAACGCAACAGCAAAGAGGAAGAGAAUUGCGGCCAUAAUGAAACACACAGCGCCAUGGGGAUACAAUAGGUAUACGAGGUGCCCCGUGGUAUGUGGAAAGGUGCAAUGGUUCCAGGAUUUACAUUUCAAAAUGCGGUUGCAUCACUGUUUCAAAUGCUUGAAGUCAGUAGUACAAUCAGGACUCGAUGGCCACCAAAGGUCAGUGGGACGCCUCACAUUGGGCGCUCACGGGAAGACUACAAAUGAAGCUGUGCAGGGUGAUACGGGCUGGACAAGUUUUGAAGUGAGGGAAGCUCAGAGUAAAUUUGAUUAUGAAGAACGACUGAGGAAUAUGGAAUAAAUUAAAUGGGCAGGGAGAGUGUUCCAAUAUUUGUACAGGAAACACACUGAUUCACAGUGGAGGAAGAUAACUAGGAAGCUUACCAGCAAGUGCGCGAUCGGUACAGUAACAUCAGGUAACAUGACAACAAAGAAUGUCAAGCGCAAAGUCAGAGAGGCUAAGACCAUCUCAUGGUUGCCGGCAAUGGAAAAGAAACCUUCUAUGAGUAACUACUUAACGGGAAAAAAACCCCGAAAUCAGGAAAUAAACAAUUACGAUAA